UACAGAGGUCUCAACCGUUGUUCGGAUUCAUUGGGCGUAAAGGGUGCGUAGGCGGUCGUGCAAGUCGGAUGUGAAAUCUCAGGGCUCAACCCUGAAACUGCAUUCGAUACUGCGCGGCUAGAGUGCUGGAGGGGAGACUGGAAUUUACGGUGUAGCAGUGAAAUGCGUAGAGAUCAGGAGGAACACCCGUGGCGAAGGCGGCGCCCUGGCCGAACAUUGACGCUGAGACGCGAAAGCGCGGGGAGCGAACGGG
rnacentral:rRNA from 1 species